UACGUAGGGUGCGAGCGUUGUCCGGAAUUAUUGGGCGUAAAGCGUCCGCAGGUGGCAGUUCAAGUCUGCUGUCAAAGACCGGGGCUUAACUUCGGAAAGGCAGUGGAAACUGAACAGCUAGAGUAUGGUAGGGGCAGAGGGAAUUCCUGGUGUAGCGGUGAAAUGCGUAGAGAUCAGGAAGAACAUCGGUGGCGAAGGCGCUCUGCUGGACCAUAACUGACACUCAGGGACGAAAGCUAGGGGAGCGAAUGGG
rnacentral:rRNA from 1 species